rnacentral:rRNA from 1 species
UACAGAGGUCCCAAGCGUUGUUCGGAUUCACUGGGCGUAAAGCGCACGCAGGCGGUCUGCCAAGUUUGGAGUGACAGUUGGUGGCUCAACCACCGAAGUGCUUCGAAAACUGACAGACUUGAGGACUUCAGAGGGACACGGAAUUCCGGGUAGAGUGGUGAAAUGCGUAGAGAUCCGGAGGAACACCGAAGGCGAAGGCAGUGUCCUGGGGAGUACCUGACGCUCAGGUGCGAAAGCUAGGGGAGCGAACGGG